rnacentral:rRNA from 1 species
ACGUGCUACAAUGGCUGGUACAAAGAGAUGCAAUACCGCGAGGUGGAGCUAAACUAUAAAACCAGUCUCAGUUCGGAUUGUAGGCUGAAACUCGCCUACAUGAAGCUGGAGUUGCUAGUAAUCGCGAAUCAGAAUGUCGCGGUGAAUACGUUCCCGGGCCUUGUACACACCGCCCGUCACACCAUGAGAGUUGGCAAUACCCAAAGUUCGUGAGCUAACCCGUAAGGGAGGCAGCGACCUAAGGUAGGGUCAGCGAUUGGGGUGAAGUCGUAACAAGGUAGCCGUAGGAGAACCUGCGGCUGGAUCACCUCCUUUCUAUGGAGA